GACAGAGGGUGCAAACGUUGUUCGGAAUUACUGGGCGUAAAGCGCAUGUAGGCGGCCAAGCAGGUCGGAUGUGAAAUCCCUCGGCUCAACCAAGGAAGUGCAUUCGAAACCGCAUGGCUCGAGUCCCGGAGAGGAAGGUGGAAUUCUCGGUAUAGAGGUGAAAUUCGUAGAUAUCGAGAGGAACACCGGUGGCGAAAGCGGCCUUCUGGACGAGGACUGACGCUGAGAUGCGAAAGCGUGGGGAGCAAACAGG
rnacentral:rRNA from 1 species